rnacentral:tRNA from 1 species
GCGAGUGUGAUGUAGCAGUAGCAUCUGGCGGUGCCAACGCCAGCGCGUGAGUGCGAAUCUCACCACUCGCU